rnacentral:rRNA from 1 species
UACGAAGGGGGCUAGCGUUGCUCGGAAUCACUGGGCGUAAAGGGUGCGUGAGCGGGUCUUUUAAGUCAGGGGUGAAAUCCCGGGGCUCAACCCCGGAACUGCCUUUGAUACUGGGUAUCUCGAGUCCGGAAGAGGUGAGUGGAAUUCCGAGUGUAGAGGUGAAAUUCGUAGAUAUUCGGAGGAACACCAGUGGCGAAGGCGGCUCACUGGUCCGGUACUGACGCUGAGGUGCGAAAGCGUGGGGAGCAAACAGGG